rnacentral:sRNA from 1 species
GCCGGGCACAGUGGCACAUGCCUGUAAUCCCAGCAGCUGGGGGGCUGAGGCAGGAGGAUCCCAAGUUCAAAGCCAGCCUCAGCAAAAGCAAGGCACUAAGCAACUCAGUGAGACCCUGUCUCUA